rnacentral:rRNA from 1 species
UCGCGCAGCCAAUGGUCGCACACUGAAAACCAAAGGCGAAGAAAACAUAACUUGAGUUGUGCGGGAUUACGGGCGGCACUCUCUGGCCGUCCCUCCAUCCCCGGGUGUUAUACCAGGCAUGGGGUGGCCUCCCUCGGGGGGCCAUCCUGCCAUAACAUACCGUGAGUGUGCAGGAUGUGACCCGAAAGAUGGUGAACUAUGCCUGAUCAGGUUGAAGUCAGGGGAAACCCUGAUGGAGGACCGAAGCAAUUCUGACGUGCAAAUCGAUUGUCAGAAUUGGGCAUAGGGGCGAAAGACCAAUCGAACCAUCUAGUAGCUGUUUCCUUCCGAA